rnacentral:rRNA from 1 species
UACGAGGGGGGCAAGCGUUGUUCGGAAUUAUUGGGCGUAAAGGGCGCGUAGGCGGUUUGGCAAGUCUAGUGUGAAAUCUUCGGGCUCAACUCGAAGUCUGCACUGGAAACUGCCGGGCUUGAGUAUGGGAGAGGUGAGUGGAAUUUCCGGUGUAGCGGUGAAAUGCGUAGAUAUCUGGAGGAACACCGGUGGCGAAGGCGACAUCCUGGACCGGUAUUGACGCUGAGGCGCGAAAGCCAGGGGAGCAAACGGG